GAUGAACGCUGGCGGCGUGCCUAAUACAUGCAAGUAGAACGCUGAAGGAGGAGCUUGCUCUUUCCGGAUGAGUUGCGAACGGGUGAGUAACGCGUAGGUAACCUGCCUGGUAGCGGGGGAUAACUAUUGGAAACGAUAGCUAAUACCGCAUAACAGUAGAUAUUGCAUGAUAUUUGCUUGAAAGGGGCAAUUGCUCCACUACCAGAUGGACCUGCGUUGUAUUAGCUAGUUGGUGAGGUAACGGCUCACCAAGGCGACGAUACAUAGCCGACCUGAGAGGGUGAUCGGCCACACUGGGACUGAGACACGGCCCAGACUCCUACGGGAGGCAGCAGUAGGGAAUCUUCGGCAAUGGACGGAAGUCUGACCGAGCAACGCCGCGUGAGUGAAGAAGGUUGUCGGAUCGUAAAGCUCUGUUGUAAGAGAAGAACGAGUGUGAGAGUGGAAAGUUCACACUGUGACGGUAUCUUACCAGAAAGGGACGGCUAACUACGUG
rnacentral:rRNA from 1 species